UAGAGCGCGUUUGGGUCAGCGAAGGUUAAUAGAUUCUCGCCUGGGCGGUCCCCUAACCCGUAGCGGAAACAGACCGCAGGGAACCAUAGCAUGGGGCCUGGUCAAGUUUCGUGGCACGGUUAUCACGAGUGCGUCAGGGUCAAGCGUUACCCCUUCCAACAAAGGCGGCCCGGAAGGCUCCAAGGCCCAACUAAAUUCUUGGUGCGAACAACCCUCCGGGGGAAACUGCAAGGAGCAUGAAAAACCGCUCAAUAACCUAAACCACGAGCAAGCACCCAAACGUGAAAGCGAGGGAUCACCCCAAUGGACCCUUUAAGGUUAACACUUGGGUACAUGCCAGCCAAAGAGCCGAGGUAUAAACUAAAAAGAAAUGGGUGACAGAUCAGCCAUAAGUACUCCAAAGGAUACACUGGGCAAAGCAAGUCGUGCAUGCGACAAAGCCCGUAACGUGAAAAAUUUUGAGGAAAGGGCUGUAAAUGGUAAUGCGCUACCCCUUAGCGGGCAUGCCCGCUAAGGGGUAGCAAAAAUCAGCGAAAGCAACUACUAGAACUAGCGCCAAUAAAAGAAAAGGCGCAGCAGACCGGUGGAGUCUCCCCUCUUGCGCUCUAACUUUAGCCAGAUAGCAUAGCCUACAGCCGGCCGGGUCUGCUUUCUACAAAAUUGGUCCGAACCCGCAGAUCACGAAAAAGGGGCAGAAGGUAGCGCCACUAUACUACUCACUUCUCCGAAAAAUCUAAAAAAGUUUCACAUCAAAGCCCCCGCUUUACUUAGUGAGAUAACUAACCUUAUUAUGGGGUGAAGCGUGGCUACAGCCGGGCAGAUUACUCACAAUACACGGAUGAAUCCGACUUGUGCAGUAGCACAAACCAGCUUGUACUACAUCACUUAAGACCCAAAGACCAAAGGCUCUUGUUAAGGUAGCCAUAGUCAAAUCUAAAAAGUAGAUCACACUAUGCUGCAAAUGACAUAGUUAUGAGGUGCAGGUGGAAGAGGAGGGAUGGAAUCGCAUAGUAGCCGUGUGUCCCUGUGCAGAGAGGGCUAGUAGUGCUUAUACGGCUUCUUGCCGCAAAAGCUGAAAAAUUUUGCCAUGGACGAGCCACAUGCGAAGAAACUUGCACGUGUGGUUCUGACCGGGGGGGAAAAGCACCCUAUCGGAAUUCUUCGAUGUGCGGAGCUUCGCAUCUGAAACCCGAUGACGCUUUGCGUUCUGCCGGGGCCUUGGGCAGUAAUCCAACUCCCGCCAACUCAUGAGGAGCUGGCAAUGCCGCGGAGUCAGGGAAGUGGCUUGUUUAAGUGUAGGCGGACGAAUCUCGACAAUAGCCGCUCUUAUAAACUAGGGGGGAUUAUUCCCAUCACAGGUUGCCGCCCUUACUUAAGUAUACUGAGAAUCGACAGUGAAAGGGAGCCCCUAGGGGGGGAAUGAACGACCUGUGGUCGCCGACGUUAGUCGGUUAGGCUUAGAAAGCACUGAACAGGCUGGGCGGGUCGACAAAGAUGACAGCUACAAGAAUGGUAAUCCUGGUGACAGAGAUAUACAUUCGGGGAUGAAUAGAAAACCUCCCACAGAAAAGGCCGCAGGUCUAUAUUUUUUCUUUGGCGAGGAAUGUAGUUCUGGCUUUUUACCAGGAAAAGCGAAAAAAAUACUGUUUUUUGUGCUGCUUGCCUGGCAAAAUUAUUCAAUCUUACGCGCGAAUCUAAUGGGAAGUAUGAGAACCUGAUGGAGAUAAUAUCGGACUUAAACGUACUGAUAGCAGCUUAAGAUAAGCUGAAAUUUCACUUGGAUAAGGGGAUGGGAUCCGACAAUGAAAACACUGGAAGGUAUUAGCCUAGAAUUGUUCCAGAAAGCCUAAGAGAGCCCGUAAAAAAUCUAAAUUUUUUUUUUCCGCUGCGCGUUAGAAAACCCAUAGGGAACCCGAAAGAUCAUAUUGUACCGAAGGCAAUGCAUAUGACUCUCGAAGGCCGCAAUUCCUUAAAUGUAUUCCGUACCUACCAAACCCCGAAUCCAAAGUAUAAAAAAGGCUAUCGCUAUAUCGAAAGCAGAGACACAAGCUCAUUGCGAAAACAAAGCGAUGCUGCCCAGACUAAAAGCUCAUGAAACUAAAAAAUAUAAGAAGGGGCGCAGCAAUAUAUAUAUGUUGCGCCCUUGCUGCCGCGUUAUUCUCUGGCUACACUUGCCAAGUGUACCAGAGUCUUCAGGGCGCAAAUAUUUUCUAUAAAAAAAAGUAAAGAAAUCACGUAAGAUAUGAAAAAAGAGGAGCCGUAUGAUGGGCAACUAUCACGUACGGUUCUAUCAGGGGGGGGGGAGUCGCGCAUCAUGGGUACCUUCUUAUUGCUGUGAAGGGCUAUAUGAAAAUAACCCCCUAUCCAACCUCA
rnacentral:lncRNA from 1 species